CACUGUAAAUAAUGUACUGCCACCCCUCUGUUUGUGCAGGUGAUAGAUGCAUAUGGUGAAAUUCUACUCGAACUACAAGGGCUAUUCAACCCAAGUUUGGAGGAUUUGGCAUUCAUCUUUACAAGCACAUGUUUGGUAACCACUACACUUUUGGUUUAUUUAUGUUUGAUGUUGAUGAGAAUGUUUACAUGAACAGUAUUGAUUUGUAUGUUCAAUAAAUGUGAAUGUUCAUCUCAACAUUAUAUGCUUAUAUUGUUAACUUAAAUGAUAGACACAUGUGAAUGUUAACAACAACAUAAUAUGACAGGUCUGAACAUUCACAUUGACAGAUGUGAACAUUCAUAUCAUUUACAGUGAACAUUAUAUGAUUAUAUUGUUAACUUAAAUGAUAGACAGAUGUGAAUGUUAACAACAACAUAAUAUGACAGGUCUGAACAUUCACAUUGACAUAUAUGAACAUUAACAUUAUUCGCAGUGAACAUUAUAUGCUUAUUAUAUUGUUAACUUAAAUGAUAGACAUAUGUGAAUGUUAACAACAACAUAAUAUGACAAGUGUGAACAUUCACAUCUGUAAUACAUUGCAUGACUGUUUGACAAAUUAACAAAUGUGAACAUUCACAUCAUUCACAUUGAACAUUGAUAUAAAUACUUGGUACAUCAUUGUAUGCCCUUUGUGUGUAGAAAGUCAUGCAAGAGUACCCCCCCUCCACAAGAGAAAUAAAUUGAUUGAUGUACAUAUCAAGGACUAUCAAGGCCAGAGAUACUUCAUCUUCCCAAUACACGACAAUUUCCACUGGACGAUUGUUGUGUACGACGUGAAAGACAAUCUAUGGAGGCAUUAUAACUCGCUACGACCAAGACCCAGCAUACAUGACCCAUAUAUUGACAAAACACAAAUAGUAAGGGACUACAUCGAGGCUUUGGUGCGCAACAUCGGACCAUCAUCACCAUUAUGGACCAAAUUAUCAGGCCAAAAUACUUCGCAACCAAUCAUAUUAGUAGACAACUGUCCUCAACAAGCAUCAGAUUCGGUGGAUUGCGGGCCUACAAGUUGUUACAUCAUGAGGGCGCAUGUAUACUGUGAAGAAAUUGUUGACAACCUAAAUCGCUUUGAAUGGUGUCAAAUAAGAGACUCAUUACUACACCUUUUUCUAAAUCACAGAAAGACAGUGCAAUGUGAAAACCUAUAGGUGGGGGGUGUCCACCUAUCACUGUUAUCCAAAAUUGUUAUCCACAUUUAAGACAAUUUAGUGUCAAUAGAUUUGACAUAUUGGAGCAGACUAGCUUAAUUGUAAAUCAAUUCUAUAUCACUACUUGUACUGCUAUUUUUCAGUCAAUAUAUGUAUAUACAUUUUGAGGCCUAUUUUGUGUUGGUCAUGCACAUUGAGAUUGUAUUUUUUUUUU